GAUGAACGCUGGCGGCGUGCCUAAUACAUGCAAGUCGAGCGAACAGACGAGGAGCUUGCUCCUCUGACGUUAGCGGCGGACGGGUGAGUAACACGUGGAUAACCUACCUAUAAGACUGGGAUAACUUCGGGAAACCGGAGCUAAUACCGGAUAAUAUAUUGAACCGCAUGGUUCAAUAGUGAAAGACGGUUUUGCUGUCACUUAUAGAUGGAUCCGCGCCGCAUUAGCUAGUUGGUAAGGUAACGGCUUACCAAGGCAACGAUGCGUAGCCGACCUGAGAGGCUGAUCGGCCACACUGGAACUGAGACACGGUCCAGACUCCUACGGGAGGCAGCCGUAGGGAAUCUUCCGCAAUGGGCGAAAGCCUGACGGAGCAACGCCGCGUGAGUGAUGAAGGUCUUCGGAUCGUAAAACUCUGUUAUUAGGGAAGAACAAAUGUGUAAGUAACUAUGCACGUCUUGACGGUACCUAAUCAGAAAGCCACGGCUAACUACGUG
rnacentral:rRNA from 1 species